GGGAGGCGCUGCCCCGGCCCGGCCCGACCCGGGUGAGCCGCCCCAGCCGGCUCCGGCCCUCGCCUUUUUCUUUCGCCAGAGCAUUACGUCAUGCUUUUUCCUCCACGUGGAGUUCUACACAUAGGGAUAAGAGAAUCAGCCCAUGUUCACAAAGACUAUUGCUCACACAAGCAAGAGUUACAAUAUUUUUCUGAGCACACUGGUCAUUCAUGUCCUAAACCUGCGACAUUUGCACCUGAAUAGCCAAUCUUGAAAUGGUGAGGUGUUGGAGGAUGUAAUACUGAAGGCACAGUAAGGUGCACUUAGGCUGAAGCACCACGACAGACAGUGAAUGAAAGCAA